rnacentral:rRNA from 1 species
UACCACACCUAAAAACUUUCCACGUGAACCGUAUCAACAACUUUAAUUGGGAGUCGUGAUCUUGGUGACAUCUACUAGUUUAUGACUGGUAGUAACUACUAGGUGAACUUCAUCAUGACGAACCAUUGGGCUUUUGUCUAAUGUAGUAGGUAUUAAUUUUAAACCCUUACUUAAUUACUGAUUUACUGUGGGGACGAAAGUCUCUACUUUUAUUCUAGAUAACAACUUUCAGCAGUGGAUGUCUAGGCUCGCACAUCGAUGAAGAACGCUGCGAACUGCGAUACGUAAUGCGAAUUGCUAAAUUCAGUGAGUCAUCGAAAUUUUGAACGCAUAUUGCACUUCCGGGGCUAGUCCUCAGAAGUAUGCCUCUAUCAGUGUCCACACAACAAACUUGGUUUUCUUCUUUCCGUGUAUUCGGUGGAGGAUAUGCCAGAUAUGAAGUGUCUUGCGACUGGUUUUCGAACCGGCUGCGAGUCCUUUUAAAUAUAUAGAACUGACUUCUCAAGCUAGAAAAGCGUGACGAUACUAACUUGGAGGCUGUCCGCGUGGCCAGUCGGCGACCGGUUUGUUAACUAUGACUAUAUGGAGAAGUAUUCGAUUUGCGGUAUGAUUGGCUUCGGCUGGACUACGUUUAUUGGGUGUUUUUUCUGUUAUGGUAGACGAACGGGUGAACCGUAGCUAUGCGUUGAUGGCUUUCUUACCUGUGUUAUUACUGCGAAGUAAAGUGUCAACUUCGGUUGUCGAGAGUCGACCUAUUUGGGAAAUGUGUUGUAAAGCUUCGGCUGCACUUCACCUCAAACGGACCUGAUAUUAGGCAAGAUUACCCGCUGAACUU